ACGUUUUGCAUUUACUAAAGAGAUAAAAAAUUCGACUUUUAUAGAAGUAGAAAAAAAUUACGUUAAAAUUUGCGAAAAUUAUACCAUGGCUUCUUGUGAAAUGUACAACAGGACAAAAAUAGUUGAAAAAAAAAUCGUUAAUACCUAAGAAAUUGCGUCUUGGUAUAGACUUCAUUUGGAUUUGUAUUCCUGUUUCUUUCUGUAUUAUUUUGUUAACUUCGUAUGGGAUAAUGAAGAAACAGACUGAGUAUAGCAGCAAAGAAAUCCCGAAAUUUUCCACCUUAUUUUGGAUUAUAUUCAGAAACUUUCUUGGACAAGACACAGAUGUAGAUCGCUAUUUUCUCCUAACGUUUCGUAUCAUAAUUGGCUGUUGGAUCCUGAUUGCAUUUGUCUUGAAAUCAGCAUACGUCGGCACUUUGCCAUCGUUCAUGAUUAAUCCUGGAACCGAAGUUAUUCCUCGGACAUUUCAAGAAUUGAUUCACUCAGUGAAAGCGGGGCGAUACAACAUCACUU